rnacentral:rRNA from 1 species
UCAUGGCUCAGAACGAACGCUGGCGGCAGGCCUAACACAUGCAAGUCGAGCGGGGACUUCGGGUCCUAGCGGCGGACGGGUGAGUAACGCGUGGGAACGUGCCCUUUGCUUCGGAAUAGCCCCUGGAAACGGGGAGUAAUACCGGAUGUGCCCUUUGGGGGAAAGAUUUAUCGGCAAAGGAUCGGCCCGCGUUGGAAUAGGUAGUUGGUGGGGUAAUGGCCUACCAAGCCGACGAUCCAUAGCUGGUUUGAGAGGAUGAUCAGCCACACUGGGACUGAGACACGGCCCAGACUCCUACGGGAGGCAGCAGUGGGGAAUCUUAGACAAUGGGCGCAAGCCUGAUCUAGCCAUGCCGCGUGAGCGAUGAAGGCCUUAGGGUUGUAAAGCUCUUUCGUGGGGGAAGAUAAUGACGGUACCCCAAGAAGAAGCCCCGGCUAACUCCGUG